UCUUCAUAUAUGUUGUGUUUUGAUGAGCUCAUGAUAGACCAGGGGUCUAGACAAGAAUUUUUUUGGUCCAAAGAAUCUCAAUGGCCAUUGUAGAGUUACAAGAUACUAAUAAUUUUCUUGUGCAUUACAAGCUCCCAUUUACAAGAGUUGCAAGGAGUUAAAAACAUACAUGCGAUUUGCAGCAAUAGCCUAUCAGCCAUCCUUGAGGACAAGGGUUCUUCAGGGUGUGGGAAUUGAUGCAAGGGAAAUGUGUCCACACGCUAGAGUUAGAUUCACUACCAAUAUUUGAAGAGAAUAAACAUUGUUGUGUGCGUGCAGUUGAUGAAUCUUAAGUAACAAUCUCCUUCCUUGAAUCUCAGUGUUCUACCUUUUGCUUCUUCCUUUCUUCUAUUUUUUCUCUCCUAUUUCCUCUAGUUUCUUACUAUCCAAACAAAUAACUGAAAAAUUUUACUUCAUUGUAUAAAAAAAUACAAAGAAAAAUAAUGGAAAUAAGCAUCCACACAAUACUAUUAUCGGCCAUCUUUUAAGCUAGUUGUCAAAUUCACUAUUUGCCUCCACUACUUUACCAGAAGAAGAGGAAGAAGCAGCUUCAUUAGAAAGUGAUCUCCUUGCUAUGAAGGCCGGUUGCUUUGGACUCGGAAGAGUUGCACUUUCACUUCCAAGCAUGAACAGAACAUUUGACAUGUUGGGACGAUCAUUUGGAUCUUCUUGUACACAUAACAGCCCAACACUAACACACCUCAUAAAUUCUUUUGCAUUGCAACUUUCACAUAAUGCUUGAUCCAUCAGAUCCAAUGCCUUCUCUUCUUUCCAUAGCCUCCAUGCAUGGCCAAGAAGGUUGAAAGCUUGAUCAGACUUGUAAAAUGCAGUGUUCCUUUUUCCGCUAAUAAUUUCAAGCAUAACUACCCCAAAGCUAAAGACAUCAGACUUGAUUGAGAAAAACCCAUCCAAUGCAUACUCUGGAGACAUGUACCCAUAUGUCCCAACAACUCUCUCCGUGCUUCCCUCUGUUUGUUUGCCUCCAAAGAUCCUUGCCAAGCCAAAAUCAGAAAUUU
rnacentral:misc_RNA from 1 species